GUUUUCAAGUACAAGGUUUUGAAGAUUGAAAAAGUGAAUUCUACGGUGACAGAUUACUUUGAUUAUUUUAUGACUGUGAAAGUCAGAAAUCUCACUCUUGUUACUCCUAUUGAGACUUUCCAAAUUCAUGCUGGUAAAAGGUGUCGCGAUGGUGGUGGAAAAGCAAUCUAUUGUUGUCAGCCUAAGGGAGAGGCAGUUGUUGGUUUGGCAAAUUGCGAUCUUUGUCUUCGUAAGCUGCGAGGAGAGGC